rnacentral:rRNA from 1 species
AUACGUAGGUGGCGAGCGUUGUCCGGAAUUAUUGGGCGUAAAGCGCGCGCAGGUGGUUCCUUAAGUCUGAUGUGAAAGCCCCCGGCUCAACCGGGGAGGGUCAUUGGUAACUGGGGAACUUGAGUGCAGAAGAGGAUAGUGGAAUUCCAAGUGUAGCGGUGAAAUGCGUAGAGAUUUGGAGGAACACCAGUGGCGAAGGCGACUGUCUGGUCUGUAACUGACACUGAGGCGCGAAAGCGUGGGGAGCAAACAGGAUUAGAUACCCUGGUAGUCCACGCCGUAAACGAUGAGUGCUAAGUGUUGGGGGGUUUCCGCCCCUCAGUGCUGCAGCUAACGCAUUAAGCACUCCGCCUGGGGAGUACGGUCGCAAGACUGAAACUCAAAUGAAUUGACGGGG